rnacentral:rRNA from 1 species
GACGAACGCUGGCGGCGUGCUUAACACAUGCAAGUCGAACGGUGAAGCGCCUUCCUUUUUGGUGGGUGUGGAUGAGUGGCGAACGGGUGAGUAACACGUGAGUAACCUGCCCCCUUCUUCUGGAUAACCGCAUGAAAGUGUGGCUAAUACGGGAUAUUCUGGGUCUGUCGCAUGAUGGGUCUGGGAAAGAUAUUGUUUCGGUGGGGGAUGGGCUCGCGGCCUAUCAGCUUGUUGGUGGGGUGAUGGCCUACCAAGGCGGUGACGGGUAGCGGGCCUGAGAGGGGGACGGUCACCAUGGGGACGAGGACACGGCCAGACUCCCAAGGGAGGGAGGCGGGGGGAAUAAUGGACCAUGGGCGCAAGCCUGAUGCAGCGACGCCGCGUGAGGGAGGGAGGCCUUCGGGUUGUGAACCUCUUUCGCCAGUGAAGCAGGCCUGCCUCGUUUGUGGGUGGGUUGACGGUAGCUGGAUAAGAAGCGCCGGCUAACUACGUG